rnacentral:rRNA from 1 species
UACGAAGGGUGCAAGCGUUGUUCGGAAUUAUUGGGCGUAAAGCGCGUGUAGGCGGCUUUGCAAGUCGGGUGUGAAAGCCCUCAGCUCAACUGAGGAAGUGCGCCCGAAACUGCAGAGCUUGAGUACCGGAGAGGAUGGCGGAAUUCCCCAAGUAGAGGUGAAAUUCGUAGAUAUGGGGAGGAACACCGGUGGCGAAGGCGGCCAUCUGGACGGAUACUGACGCUGAGACGCGAAAGCGUGGGGAGCAAACAGG